CAGUCGCCGCGGUAAUACGUAGGGUGCAAGCGUUAAUCGGAAUUACUGGGCGUAAAGCGUGCGCAGGCGGUUUUGUAAGUCUGUCGUGAAAUCCCCGGGCUCAACCUGGGAAUGGCGAUGGAGACUGCAAGGCUAGAAUCUGGCAGAGGGGGGUAGAAUUCCACGUGUAGCAGUGAAAUGCGUAGAUAUGUGGAGGAACACCGAUGGCGAAGGCAGCCCCCUGGGCUAAGAUUGACGCUCAUGCACGAAAGCGUGGGGAGCAAACAGGAUUAGAUACCCCCGUAGUUCCUGUCUCUUAUAC
rnacentral:rRNA from 1 species